rnacentral:rRNA from 1 species
AUUGAAUGCUGGCGGCAGGCCUAACACAUGCAAGUCGAGCGAGCGGCGGACGGGUGAGUAAUUUCUGGGAAACUGCCUGAUGGAGGGGGAUAACUUCUGGAAACGGUAGCUAAUACCGCAUACCAUCGGAUGAGCCCAGAUGGGAUUAGCUAGUGGGUGGGGUAACGGUCCACCUUGGCGACGAUCCCUAGCUUGGGUGAGUGGAUGACCAGCCACCCUGGAGCGGAGACACGGUCCGGACUCCUACGGGAGGCAGCGGUGGGGAAUAUUGCACAAUUGGCACAAGCCUGAUGCAGCCAUGCCGCGUGUAUGAAGAAGGCCUUCGGGUUGUAAAGUACUUUCAGCGUGGAGGCGUUACUCGCAGAAGAAGCACCGGCUAACUCCGUGCCAGCCGCCGCGGUAAUAC